rfam:Nicotiana sylvestris Nsyl_contig29613, whole genome shotgun sequence.
UGAAUAGAUUAUUGUAUUCGACUGUAUUCAUGGCGUGAAAUAGGGGAUUACACUGUUUUUAAACGAAAAGUGAAUCAAUUAACAUAAUAGACUCCU